UGGGGAAUUUUGGACAAUGGGCGCAAGCCUGAUCCAGCCAUGCCGCGUGCGGGAAGAAGGCCUUCGGGUUGUAAACCGCUUUUGUCGGGGAAGAAAUCUCUCGGGCUAAUACCUCGGGGGGAUGACGGUACCCGAAGAAUAAGCACCGGCUAACUACGUGCCAGCAGCCGCGGUAAUACGUAGGGUGCGAGCGUUAAUCGGAAUUACUGGGCGUAAAGCGUGCGCAGGCGGUCGUGCAAGACAGAUGUGAAAUCCCCGGGCUCAACCUGGGAACUGCAUUUGUGACUGCACGGCUGGAAUACGGCAGAGGGGGAUGGAAUUCCGCGUGUAGCAGUGAAAUGCGUAGAUAUGCGGAGGAACACCGAUGGCGAAGGCAGUCCCCUGGGCCUGUACUGACGCUCAUGCACGAAAGCGUGGGGAGCAAACA
rnacentral:rRNA from 1 species